UGGCGACUCUGUCCUCCCCGCGCUCUGUGCGGGGAUUAAGACUAAGACUUGCCCAGCCCCAAGGGUCACAUUCUUUACUCUCCACUAGUAUAAAGUAAAGUUCAUAAACACCCAAAAGACUAACAGUUUUAAACUGCAGUUCUAAACAGAGUUCACCAAAAAGAGCCACUGUGAAUAAUGUAAAAUAUAGAAGAAAAUUUGAAAGGUUCUAAUGUUGAGAGAAUGUAAACAAUGGGAUAGAAGACUAAGAAAUAAGAAGUGCAACCCUGAUGUUUCUACAUGAAGCUAAAAUAUACACAAGAUAAGCAUGAAACUUUACACAAUUUACAAUAGCAGUACCUACUGAUAGUGCUACCUUUUCAUUUUCCUCGGUUACACAAAAAUGCUUCUGAUUGUUCUCAAAUAAAUAUAGUCAGAACUA